UGCAAUGAUGCUCUCUUGAUUUAUAUUAUUGUUUUUGGUUACAGGGAGCCGCCGCCGCCAUUUGUUUGUUGUCUACUGAGGCUUGAGGGGCAGGGCUUCUCCUUCCCUCUUCAGCAGGCUUGCGGAGCUGCAACCACCGGCUUUCUCAUACUGUUCUCUCGCCUGCAAAACUUUGGCAGCUUAGGCCCCCAAAAUUGUCAUCCGCACACUUAUUUUCGAGGGUUUCAUAGGGAAACUGGCACUUUCUCUACUCACGAGUUGGAUUUUGAUUUCUGCAACAAGAAGAUAACUGCUACCUCUGCAAUUUUGACAUAAUUCGCAAACAACACUGCCCUUUAAGUGCCUUGCGGCCCAUCGCUUUGUUUGCACUUUUAUUUUGAUGCAAUAAUGAAAUGCUGAUAGGUUUAAAAAAGUGAAGCAAGCUCCAUGUGGGAAGAUCAAAGUCUACACGCAUGCAUCAAGCUAUCUGCUUCCUUCUGCAUAUUCCAUAUUAUGUAAACAGUUAAACAUUAUUUUUCAUGGUUUUAAAAUACUUACAUUGAGCAGCAAAAACCAUCAUAUAAAUGAUAUUACCUGCAAGAGCAAAUUGAAAA